CGCGGACGUGCCCAUGGUGCCCGCCUGGAUGGUGCCGCUCGCUCGCUCGCUCCGCACAACAAGUUACCAGCCCUCGCAGAGGAGGAAGGAGAUCAAUAUAUUGUUCGCCCAGGAGAGCUGCUGUGAUGAAGAGUUCAGGAAUCAUGGACAAAGAUGCAAUGCCUGAGAGUGCAGCAGACCUCUUGUGACCGGGUGUGACAAGCACCAGAAGAAAGUUAUGCUAGGAACAGAAAGCGCAAAGGAGAAAGAGUCAACGUGUCAGCAUGACUGAGCUGCCACAUGGACACUAGCCUGUUUACCUCCCUAUUUGUUCUGACUUGCGCCAAA